GCGGAAGUAGCUCAGCGGUAGAGCAUCGCCUUGCCAAGGCGAGGGUCGCGGGUUCAAAUCCCGUCUUCCGCUCCA
rnacentral:tRNA from 15 species